GGAAAUGUGCCUGAGCCCUAAGGGCCACUAUGAUAAAGUGGACACGGAGGUGCACCAACCCUCCCAUUUCCU
rnacentral:tRNA from 1 species